CUUGGAUUAUUUUAUUUUUGUUUCUGUUUAAAAUAUGCUUUUCUGUUACUAUAGUUACUGUGUUAUGCUGACAUACAGAUGUUUUAUCAUCUUUAGGAAACGAUUGCUGCUUCAAACCAUCAAAGCCAGAGGUAGAGAGGGGAUACAAAUGUGUAGCAAGAGACUUUGGAAAACCACAGAAGAAACCUGAGUGCAGGAUAGGAAGAGACACGGCUGGAUGCAGAGGCCUGGCAAGAAGUCAUGCUUGCUAGGCUUGUAACAGAGAGCAGGAAGAAACAGAAAGACAGUUGGAUAUUGGGAAGCCUGUGAUGAGAAGAGUUCAGCAUGUUUUGGAAGAAGUUUGGAUUUAUUAUGCAGCAGGAGCCUUGCCUUCUCAAUGUGAUUUUCCCAUCUGUCUUGCUCAGCAGUGUUACAAUCUCAGCUGAUCCUUGUGUGCAGUCAUCAGUCAGAUCAUACUGCAUAUUGAUACAGUUAUUAAGGAGCCCUAUUGAUGUCACUAAUAUUUACAUUCUGCACUGAGAUACUGACCUGAGGUAAUCAAGUAAAGAUAUUCCUCUCAAAGAGACCCUUCCUUUAUUGCAACGGCCGGGCAAUGCUGAGAGGCACAGGCUGGGACUCCUCACUCAGGACCCAUCAAUCGCUCUGCUGGCUGGCAUGAAGGACCAGAGGAAGAAAGGUAAGAGCCCUGCUCAGAGGAAGACCAGUCAUGCCCCCCCCCUUCCUAUCUUCCCAUCCACUCUGAGGAUGUGGCCCCUCAGCCUCUAA
rnacentral:lncRNA from 1 species